rnacentral:rRNA from 1 species
AAUAGAUACCCAGGUAGUCCACGCCGUAAACGAUGAGUGCUAAGUGUUAGGGGGGUUUCCGCCCCUUAGUGCUGCAGCUAACGCAUUAAGCACUCCGCCUGGGGAGUACGGUCGCAAGACUGAAACUCAAAGGAAUUGACGGGGGCCCGCACAAGCGGUGGAGCAUGUGGUUUAAUUCGAAGCAACGCGAAGAACCUUACCAGGUCUUGACAUCCCACUGACCGCUAUGGAGACAUAGUUUUCCCUUCGGGGACAGUGGUGACAGGUGGUGCAUGGUUGUCGUCAGCUCGUGUCGUGAGAUGUUGGGUUAAGUCCCGCAACGAGCGCAACCCUUGAUCUUAGUUGCCAUCAUUUAGUUGGGCACUCUAAGGUGACUGCCGGUGACAAACCGGAGGAAGGUGGGGAUGACGUCAAAUCAUCAUGCCCCUUAUGACCUGGGCUACACACAUGCUACAAUGGACGGUACAAACGGUUGCCAACCCGCGAGGGGGAGCUAAUCCGAUAAAACCGUUCUCAGUUCGGAUUGUAGGCUGCAACUCGCCUA